rnacentral:lncRNA from 1 species
GGUGCAGCCCUGCCUCCCGCAAGACAGCACUGCCUUCCUGCUGGACACAGUUCUAAGGUGGAGCCUGGAGUGCCUGUAGCACAAAUCCCGGAAUUGGGAAGUGCCCAGCUUUGGGCCACUGUGAUCCCUGGGUCUUUCCCGCGCGCGUAGUCUCGUGCCGCCUUCCACCCCGGUCCUGUGUCCUGUGCCCCGGUUCAGGGUUGUCUCUGAAUUUUCACCCAGUUGUCUACCAAGAGCCAAGGACGUGGUCUUUUAUCAGUGGCACCUGAGACUUUCUUCCCUGUGGACGCAAAUCCAUUAUUCAGCACUCUGGGCACAGCUACAGAUCUGAUCAGCUAUCCAUUCUCCAAACUAUCUCAUCCUCUGUCCCAUUUUUCUGUCUCUCUUGUCCACAAGGCAUAUACCUGAGAGUUUUCAAAUUCCUCAGAGAAAUUUAGCUGUUCUGUGGCUUUGGCAUUCACCUAAUGUGUUAAUCUACAAACCUUUUUUACAGUGUGGAUUUUUUUUUCAUGAUGUGAAUUCAAGUGGUUUCUAAUGUUCUCUUCAUAAAGUUGUAAACCAA